AUUAUUUAAUUUUUAAUACAGAGGACUUACUUAUUGUAUCAUUUCAUUUAUAUUACAGAGAGCUUAUCAGGUGGGGAAGCCCCAGGCCAUUUUACCACAAUAAGAACCUCUUCUUCUAAAAUAGAAAAGCAGAACAAGCACAUACAGUCAUGUUUUUACCCAGUAGUAAAAGUGAUCACACGCACCACACCUGAAGAAGAGCAGGGACCUGGGCAGAGACCUCUAAAAGCACAGCCUGCAGAUCAUAACACCCAAGGAUCAGAAGACGGACGGGACAGAACAGAAGGGUACGAUUCCUCGGAGGAAAACAAGCCAC